GUGGUGGCUCAGUGGUUUAGGCUUUGGGCUAGUGAUCGGAAGGUUCUGAGUUCAAAUCAGAGCACCACA